AAGAAAUUGAGUUCUAUAAAUACACAUACCUCAAUGAUCAUCUAUAGGUUUUUCUCUCCUAUAUUAUUAAAGACUUCCAUCAAUAGAGUGAAUGAUCUUAAAGCUAGAAAUAUUUCAUCUCACUCAAAUGAUUCUAAAAGAAAGAAAAUGUAAAUGCUUUUGAAAGAAACUGAGCUUCAAAUGAAUCAUUUUCUGAUUAAUAUUACUAUAUAUUCUCUCUAAGAUUAGGAGAAAGCAUAACUU
rnacentral:lncRNA from 1 species